CAUUUAGUUGUCAAAAUACAUUUUGACGUACAAUUUUAUCACAAUGUGCCCUGGUCAUGGUGUAGCUUGGCUGGGUAUCCAAAACGAGGAAUGAAGUCGUUGAAAAUUCUUUCUGCAGCUGUUCUUCCAGACUUAUUUCUCGUUGGAUAAGCUUGGGCAAAUCUGGUGAAAUGGUCUAUUACAACCAAGAUGUAUUCAUAACCACCCUUGCUUCUCUCUAAAUGGAGGUAGUCAAUGGAGACCAGUUCCAGUGGUGAAGUGCUGGUGAUACUUCACAUUGGUGCUCUGAUGUGAACGACAGGUUUCUUCUUUUUGAUACAGGGACAUCUUCUGGUCACAUGAGCUUCAAUGUCUCUUUUCAUAAAGGGCCAAUAGAACCUAUCUCUCGCCAAAGUAAGAACGCGCUCAGUUCCUACGUGACCCAUGUCAUCAUGGAGGUGCUUAAGAGCCACUGUGUGGUAUUUUGUGGGGAGGACGAGUUGUUGUCGCUGCUUUGUCUGCCUGUACAGCAGUUGGUUCUUGACGUGGAGUUUCCCCCAUUCAUGCAUGAGUUUUUGCAGCGUACCUGAAGCUCCUCGCCGAUUUUCAUUUGACAAGACUCUCUUUGUUUCCUUCAGUCUUAUUAGUGCCCCAAUUGAUGGGUCUUCCUUGGACAAUUCUUCGGUGCAUUCCACCACAUACCUGUCCAGUGGUAGACGGGAGAGGGUGUCAGCGUCAACAUUGCUCUUCCCUGGUCGGUACCUGAUAUCAAAUUGAAAGUCUGCAAGUUCACCUACCCAUCGGUGACCAACAGCGUUCAGUUUGACUGUGCCCAUGACAUAUGUUAGUGGGUUAUUGUCUGUGUAGAUGGUGAAGUGGGGUGCAUAAAACAAAUAGUCCCUGAAUUUCUCACAAACAGCCCAUUUCAAGGCGAGGAACUCUGUAUGUGUGUACUACGUGUGUCACUGUCGGCUGUUGCCACUUCAUUUACGCUUGAUCCUGAAUAGUUAUUAGCAGUAGCUCUGUCAGUGGACAAUGAAUGCAUUGUGGUUGGGAUGUUAGUCUUUCCCUCGACAUUUAACUGUCAACAAGUCUCUGGACUCUUGCUUUGGUCCUCAAUGAUCUCAUCUACUUUAUCUUUCAGGUCUAAUAGCCAUGAAAUCCCCUCAUCUUCUAACAUCAACAAUGAGUUGCUAGACAUAUAAGCAGACAAAUAUUCAAAACAACUCGUCAUUUUUGUCCAACUUAUCUGUUUCAAGCUCAUCAACUGGUCCGAUGCUUUGAGUGAGCUGGAAGAUCUCUUCGGUUGUCAGGCUGUGUAGUCCUUUCUUUAUUGUCCAAACAAAACUCUUUCUCUCGUUGUCAAACAUGCCGCACGUUGUUGGGACUGUCGAGUUGCACUCUCUCGGCUUGGAUUCCACUAGACUGGUUCUCUCACCCUGGCAGUCGCUCACUCGCAGUGCCCCUCGCUCCAGCAACGUGUCAUCACUCUGGUCCACGGUUCAUGGAUUACUGGAUCAGCAGUUGUCGGACCCCCGUAGUACUGCUGAUCCCGGACCAGCCCCCGAAGAUCUGUUACAGGUCUCAGGAUAAGAGAGCCUGAUGACAGACUUGUGCCUGAGAAAAAUAAAAUUAGUGACACAGGCAGACAUG
ensembl:lncRNA